rnacentral:rRNA from 1 species
AUUGAACGCUGGCGGCAGGCCUAACACAUGCAAGUCGAGCGAGCGGCGGACGGGUGAGUAAUGUCUGGGAAACUGCCUGAUGGAGGGGGAUAACUACUGGAAACGGUAGCUAAUACCGCAUACCAUCAGAUGUGCCCAGAUGGGGUGAGCUAGUAGGUGGGGUAACGGCUCACCUAGGCGACGAUCCCUAGCUGGUCUGAGAGGAUGACCAGCCACACUGGAACUGAGACACGGUCCAGACUCCUACGGGAGGCAGCAGUAGGGAAUAUUGGACAAUGGGCGAAAGCCUGAUACAGCAACGCCGCGUGUGUGAAGAAGGUCUUCGGGUUGUAAAGCACUUUCAGCGGGGAGGCGUUACCCGCAGAAGAAGCACCGGCUAACUCCGUGCCAGCAGCCGCGGUAAUAC